CCCUUAGAGUUUGAUCCUGGCUCAGGACGAACGCUGGCGGCGUGCCUAAUACAUGCAAGUCGAACGAAACUUUCUUACACCGAAUGAUUGCAUUCACCGUAAGAAGUUGAGUGGCGGACGGGUGAGUAACACGUGGGUAACCUGCCUAAAAGAAGGGGAUAACACUUGGAAACAGGUGCUAAUACCGUAUAUCUCUAAGGAUCGCAUGAUCUUUAGAUGAAAGAUGGUUCUGCUAUCGCUUUUAGAUGGACCCGCGGCGUAUUAACUAGUUGGUGGGGUAACGGCCUACCAAGGUGAUGAUACGUAGCCGAACUGAGAGGUUGAUCGGCCACAUUGGGACUGAGACACGGCCCAAACUCCUACGGGAGGCAGCAGUAGGGAAUCUUCCACAAUGGA
rnacentral:rRNA from 1 species